rnacentral:rRNA from 1 species
UGGGGAAUUUUGGACAAUGGGCGAAAGCCUGAUCCAGCCAUGCCGCGUGCGGGAAGAAGGCCUUCGGGUUGUAAACCGCUUUUGUCAGGGAAGAAAUCUCCUGGGCUAAUACCUCGGGGGGAUGACGGUACCUGGAGAAUAAGCACCGGCUAACUACGUGCCAGCAGCCGCGGUAAU